GUUUUGGUGUCACUUCGGACAUUCGUUCGUGGUGGUGAAAAGGGAACCGGGUGUAAAUCCCGGGCAGACCCGCUGCUGUAAACUCCACGCCAAAGUCUUUGAAUAAAUACUCAUGCCACUGUUUUUCUCAGUGUACAGUUUAUGCGGAACAGUUUAUUUUUGAUAACUGCCUGCUGAAAACCGGUAACUUAAAAACGGGAAGGAUAUUCGAAGAUGGAGCAAGCCAGAAGACCUGCCAAGACUAUA
rnacentral:ncRNA from 1 species